AUUGAACGCUGGCGGCAGGCCUAACACAUGCAAGUCGAGCGGAUGCAGGGAGCUUGCUCCUGGAUUCAGCGGCGGACGGGUGAGUAAUGCCUAUGAAUCUGCCUGGUAGUGGGGGAUAACGUCCGGAAACGGGCGCUGAUACCGCAUACGUCCUGAGGGCGACAGUGGGGGAUCUUCGGACCUCACGCUAUCAGAUGAGCCUAGGUGGGAUUCGCUAGUUGGUGGGGUAGAGGCCUACCAAGGCGACGAUCCGUAACUGGUCUGAGAGGAUGAUCAGUCACACUGGAACUGAGACACGGUCCAGACUCCUACGGGAGGCAGCAGUGGGGAAUAUUGGACAAUGGGCGAAAGCCUGAUCCAGCCAUGCCGCGUGUGUGAAGAAGGUCUUCUGAUUGUAAAGCACUUUAAGUUGGGAGGAAGGGCAGUAAGUUAAUACCUGGCUGUUUUGACGUUACCAACAGAAUAAGCACCGGCUAACUUCGUG
rnacentral:rRNA from 1 species